CUACGGGGGGCAGCAGUGGGGAAUAUUGCACAAUGGGGGAAACCCUGAUGCAGCAACGCCGCGUGGAGGAUGACGCAUUUCGGUGUGUAAACUCCUUUUAUAUAGGAAGAUAAUGACGGUACUAUGUGAAUAAGCACCGGCUAACUCCGUGCCAGCAGCCGCGGUAAUACGGAGGGUGCAAGCGUUACUCGGAAUCACUGGGCGUAAAGCGCGCGCAGGCGGUUUGAUAAGUUGGAUGUGAAAGCCUACGGCUCAACCGUAGAACUGCAUCCAAAACUGUCAAACUAGAGUCUGGGAGGGGAAGAUGGAAUUAGUUGUGUAGGGGUAAAAUCCGUAGAGAUAACUAGGAAUACCAAAAGCGAAGGCGAUCUUCUGGAACAGUACUGACGCUGAGGCGCGAAAGCGUGGGGAGCAAACGGGAUUAGAUACCCUGGUAGUC
rnacentral:rRNA from 1 species